ensembl:lncRNA
AUUCUGAUCAUGCUAGGAAUGUAAUCAAGUCCCUCUGUGGAGAUAAGUUAAUUAUCUCCGCAGGCUGUGAACAAACACACGGGUUUGGUUUCUGACCAUGUUGCCUAAUGAGAGGGCACCCCCCACAGGAGCUGGAGGGCUUGUCGGCCACCACCCCAGGGCCCUUGAUGGCAUCUGGGAGUCCUGGUUUUAAAUGAUCUGGCCUUUGUCCCCCGGCUCCCCCAUCACACAUGCUUCUAGCAAUAUAGCACUGAACACAGAAAUGGGCUCUCUCCAGUCUCCUCCGGCCAGCCCAGCCGUGCCCUGAUGGAUAAGGGCUGGGUUCCCAGAGCUCCCCAGCACCUCCUGCAGCCCAGCACACCCCCCAGCUCAGGUUGUCCCCCUGGAAAGCUGAUCCGGCUUCGCUGAGCCUCCUGAGAUAGAUAAGGGAGUAAAUCAGCUUUUCUGUCCUCCAUCACUGGGCUGCCAGGGACAGCAGGACCCAAAGACUCAAACAUAAAUCACCUGCCUAUCUCCAUGUUUUAAACUUCAGCUUUAAUCCAGCUCAGAGUGGGAUUAGCUGCCUCAGAGACUGCUAAUUGCCAGAUGGCCGCUGAUAGCCGACCAGGGAAACGUGUGUGUCAGAGCCUGCCAUGAAGCCCUAGGAAGUCAGAACUGGAAGGGAUCUUAGGGAGGCCGGCCAACCCUUCACUUCUUCACCAUUGCGAUGGGGACACAGGCAAAGUGGCUCGCUCCUGGAUGCACAAAGGGAACAUUUAAAAGGCACUUAAUCUCCCUGAGUUAUUGCCACGGGAGCGUGUUGGGAUCCGGCAUCACACAGAAGCAUCCUACACUCUGGAAGUGCAGAACUGAAGCCAGCCCAGACCCAUCACACCCAUAUUAAAACUCUACAUGCCUGGAAACUAAAGCCCAUGGUUCGAAAGGGACUUGACCAAGGUCUCUCUGCCAGAAACAUGCCAUAUGGGGUACUGCCUCCUGCUCAGCCUGCCAGACAGGGGAGAUGGAGCUGAAAACUCAACUUCUCUGCCUUCCCUUGGGCGGGCCUGAAGACGGUGGGGCUUAGAGCCAGCGCAGGACUGGCUGGGUGGUGAACCCCCCACCCCAGUCGAUGAGAGCUCCAAUCUGGCCUGCAGCCACCCUAGGUCUGUUUGUGACUUCAGCUAUGCCCCUGCUGCUGGGCAUCCAUUGUCCGGGUGGUGCAUCAUCUCAGUCUCUGACUCUGUUCUGAAGGAGAGAGAUGGCGACAGAGCCGGCUGAGCGGCAGUUUGAGCAGCUCGCACGCAGACCGCCGGAUCUGCAUCUCUGUUCUGGGACAGGCCCAUCUCUCCCAGCCCCGUCUCUCCAUGCAUCAGGAGGCUCCAUGGCCAUAUUUGUUUACUCCAUUUGCCGAUAUGCAGUUUGCAUAAUAUUGAAUCUGGAA